rnacentral:tRNA from 1 species
GUGGCUGUAGUUCAGUUGGUUAGAACGUUGGGUUGUGGUUCCAGAGGUCGUCGGUUCGAUCCCGAUCAGCCACCC